UGGGGAAUAUUGGGCAAUGGGGGAAACCCUGACCCAGCAACGCCGCGUGAGGGAAGAAGGUCUUCGGAUCGUAAAACUCUGUCCUUGGUGACGAAAGAAAUGACGGUAACCAAGAAGGAAGCCCCGGCUAACUACGUGCCAGCAGCCGCGGUAAUACGUAGGGGGCGAGCGUUGUCCGGAAUGAUUGGGCGUAAAGGGCGCGUAGGCGGCCGAGCAAGUCAGUAGUGGAAGUCCAAUUUUCAAGGUUGGAAGUGCUAUUGAAACUGCAGGGCUUGAGUGCAGGAGAGGUUAUCGGAAUUCCCGGUGUAGCGGUGAAAUGCGUAGAGAACGGGAGGAACACCAGUGGCGAAGGCGGGUAACUGGACUGCAACUGACGCUGAGGCGCGAAAGUGUGGGGAGCAAACAGG
rnacentral:rRNA from 2 species